rnacentral:rRNA from 1 species
UACGGAGGGUGCAAGCGUUAUCCGGAUUCACUGGGUUUAAAGGGUGCGUAGGUGGGUCUGUAAGUCCGUGGUGAAAUCUCCAAGCUUAACUUGGAAACUGCCAUGGAUACUAUAGGUCUUGAAUACCGUGGAGGUGAGCGGAAUAUGUCAUGUAGCGGUGAAAUGCUUAGAUAUGACAUAGAACACCAAUUGCGAAGGCAGCUCACUACACGAAUAUUGACACUGAGCACGAAAGCGUGGGGAGUCAAACAGG